UUUGCAAUACACGAAAGUGUGACAGGGCUAUCCCGAGUGCCAUCCGCUGAGGAAGGCUUUUACCCAGUCUAGAAAGCUGGGGGAAUAAGGAGAGGGCAAGUCUGGUGUCAGCCGCCGCGGUAAUACCAGCUCUCCGAGUGGUGUGGAUGUUUAUUGGGCCUAAAGCAUCCGUAGCUGGCUAAGUUAGUCCCCUGUUAAAUCCAACGAAUUAAUCGUUGGAUCGCGGGGGAUACUGCUUGGCUAGGGGACGAGAGAGGCAGACGGUAUUUCCGGGGUAGGGGUGAAAUCCUAUAAUCCCGGGAAGACCACCAGUGGCGAAGGCUGUCUGCUAGAACGCGCCCGACGGUGAGGGAUGAAAGCUGGGGGAGCGAACCGGAUUAGAUACCCGGGUAGUCCCAGCUGUAAACGAUGCAGGCUAGGUGUUUGGACGGCCACGUGCCGUUCUAGUGCCACAGGGAAGCUGUUAAGCCUGCCGCCUGGGGAGUACGAUCGCAAG
rnacentral:rRNA from 1 species